rnacentral:rRNA from 1 species
GUGGCAGCCGCCGCGGCAAUACGGAGGGUGCGAGCGUUAAUCGGAAUUACUGGGCGUAAAGGGCGCGUAGGCGGUCGCGCAAGUCGGGUGUGAAAGCCCCGGGCUCAACCUGGGAAUUGCAUUCGAUACUGCGUAACUAGAGUCUGGUAGAGGGAAGCGGAAUUCCGCAUGUAGCGGUGAAAUGCGUAGAUAUGCGGAGGAACACCAGUGGCGAAGGCGGCUUCCUGGACCAAGAUUGACGCUGAGGCGCGAAAGCGUGGGGAGCAAACAGGAUUAGAUACCCUGGUAGUCCACGCCCUAAACGAUGAGGACUAGACGUUGGGGGGAUAAAACCCUUUAGUGUCGCAGCUAACGCGUGAAGUCCUCCGCCUGGGGAGUACGGCCGCAAGGUUGAAACUUAAAGGAAUUGGCGG